rnacentral:rRNA from 1 species
AUUGAACGCUGGCGGCAUGCCUUACACAUGCAAGUCGAACGGCAGCACGGGUGCUUGCACCUGGUGGCGAGUGGCGAACGGGUGAGUAAUACAUCGGAACGUACCUUAUCGUGGGGGAUAACGCAUCGAAAGCUGUGCUAAUACCGCAUACGCCCUGAGGGGGAAAGCGGGGGAUCGCAAGACCUCGCGCGAUUAGAGCGGCCGAUGCCUGAUUAGCUUGUUGGUGGGGUAAAAGCCCACCAAGGCGACGAUCAGUAGCUGGUCUGAGCGGACGAUCAGCCACACGGGGACUGAGACACGGCCCAGACUCCUACGGGAGGCAGCAGUGGGGAAUUUUGGACAAUGGGGGCAACCCUGAUCCAGCAAUGCCGCGUGAGUGAAGAAGGCCUUCGGGUUGUAAAGCUCUUUUGUCAGGGAAGAAACACCGGCUCUAACACAGUCCGGGAAUGACGGUACCAUACGAAUAAGCACCUGCAAACUACGUGCCAGCCGCCGCGGUAA